CCUGCCUCUUUCACUCCUUCCUUAACAGCCUCUGACAGCCGCAGCAAGUGCAUAUUGCAAGUGUUCCCUUCGUACCAGACUGAGGAGAUACCUAUUUGAGGUUUACUGAGGUCUUCGUCUGAUAAACCAACUCCAUGGAGGAUUGCUUGUGACCCGCCUUGGGAUUUGGGUUCAGUGACGCGAGAACUGUACUUGUUCAGUUUUUGAGCUACGGUAGAUGCCGAUGAAGGCUCUGAGGUGACAACGGUCUGCGACUGGGCUACAACGCGGAGGGAGGAGGGCCGUGUGAAGAAGUGAGGCUGUCUAAGGGCGCCAUAGAAAGGGAUGGCGGCGUUGAUUGGGUUGGCGGGCGGCGAGACGAAGGUGGAUUGCAUGGUGUCGCGUGG
rnacentral:lncRNA from 1 species